AUUGAACGCUAGCGGGAUGCUUUACACAUGCAAGUCGAACUAGUGGCGGACGGGUGAGUAAUAUAUCGGAACGUGCCCAGUAGCCGGGGAUAACUACUCGAAAGAGUGGCUAAUACCGCAUACUUUUGGAGCGGCCGAUAUCGGAUUAGCUAGUUUGUGGGGUAAAGGCUCACCAAUGCACCGAUCCGUAGCUGGUUUGAGAGGACGACGAGGCACAAGGGGACGGAGACACGGACACGGAUCCUACAGGAGGAAGCAGUGGGGAAUAUUGGACAGUGGGGGAAAAACUGAUCUAGCGAUGCCGCGUGUAUGAGAAGGCCUUCAGGUUGUAAAGUCCUUAUGGCAGGGGAGCGGUAUCUGAAGAAUAAGCACCGGCUAACUACAUGCCAGCAGCCGAGGUAAUAC
rnacentral:rRNA from 1 species